AGACAGGUGCUGCAUGGCUGUCGUCAGCUCGUGUUGUGAAAUGUUGGGUUAAGUCCCGCAACGAGCGCAACCCUUAUCCUUGUUUGCCAGCACGUAAUGGUGGGAACUCCAGGGAGACUGCCGGUGAUAAACCGGAGGAAGGUGGGGACGACGUCAAGUCAUCAUGGCCCUUACGAGUAGGGCUACACACGUGCUACAAUGGCGCAUACAGAGGGCGGCCAACUUGCGAAAGUGAGCGAAUCCCAAAAAGUGCGUCGUAGUCCGGAUUGGAGUCUGCAACUCGACUCCAUGAAGUCGGAAUCGCUAGUAAUCGUGGAUCAGAAUGCCACGGUGAAUACGUUCCCGGGCCUUGUACACACCGCCCGUCACACCAUGGGAGUGGGCUGCAAAAGAAGUGGGUAGUUUAACCUUCGGGAGGACGCUCACCACUUUGUGGUUCAUGACUGGGGUGAAGUCGUAACAAGGUAGCGCUAGGGGAACCUGGCGCUGGAUCACCUCCUUAUACGAUGAU
rnacentral:rRNA from 1 species